rnacentral:lncRNA from 1 species
CAAAACUCGAAUAUGGUUGGCCAUAUCAUCGAAUUUUCUGUUGAACUCUUCAGAGAUUGAAUCAAUUUUCUUGAGCAGGGUGUUUUCGGCGAGAAUCUGCUGAUCAAGGAAUUGGUUUAUCAUUCCUUCGAGGCGUCCCAAACGUCUGCUGAUCCUCAAGUUGUCCUCUUGCUGACUAGGGUUCUGAAGUGGAGGAUUAUAGGCGUGUGGCUCGAAGUAGGUCGGAGGAGGGCCAUAAGGAUCUUCCCGGCGUCGAACAGUCUCUCUGCGCCGGUGGUAAGGGUGGUUUGGCUGGCUGUAUCGAUCCAUGUAGCUAGGAUUUCGGACUUGGUGUUCUUCUCUGCGUCUGGUGGCUUGAGAAGUGUUAU